AUGGGGGCCUGGAGAGCGGGCGGCCCCGCGGUGCAUUGCUGUUGCAUUGCAUGUGUGAGGCAGGUGCAGUGCCUCGGCAGUGCAGCCCGGAGCCGGCCCCUGGCACCGCGGGCCCCC
rnacentral:pre_miRNA from 8 species